CCUGGAGCUCUAUGGUAUGGGUCAUCUUUUCUUAUAAAAUUUUACCCGCUCCUGCCGUUUAUGUUUCAUCACAUACUUUCAAUACUUAUUUCCGCAUAACACACUAAAGACCAGGAUUUGAGGAUUCAUCCUAGUUUGAAGAAACAAAGAAUUGAGAAAAUAUAUUAACUCUAUAGGUUAUGAAUCAAUAGUGCCAACAUGACAGGCCCAAGGAGUAAAAUGAGCAGGGGUGAUCCAGAGACCAUCAAGGACUUUUCUCAUAUGCUGAAGUUAACUCAACUGUAACAUUAGCAUCCAAGAAUCAUCUACUUCUCCCAACCAUCCAAGAACCAUCUACUUAACCCAAGAUCUAGAAUAUGCAAUCUAAGAGGAGUCCAGAUACCCUAUCUUUUCCAAUAGGAAUACCUUGGCAAUAAACAUGGUUGUACCUUGGAGUUUUACUGUAGCCUUUUUAUCUUCUAUCAAACUGCA